rnacentral:lncRNA from 1 species
UCCCCCAAAAAGUAAAGAAGUCAAGAAUUUUGCCACAAAUUGUAUCUACAUGCUCAUUAUUUAUUUGUCCAUCAAAAUUCGCUACAUGCUCAUUAUUUACCUAAAACAUUAAAUUGACAGCUCCAAUAUCUACAUGCUCAUUAUGUACUUGUCCAUCAAAAUUCUGUGCAUGCUCAUUAUUCACCUAAAACAUUAAAUUGACAGUACCAAUAUAAAUAUAGUAUCCUGUCACCACCACUAUUGAGAAAAUUUAGCUGAGAUCUAAACUUACCCUAUGAGAAAACAAACCACCAUAAGCAUGAAAACAACAUUCAGUUAUAAAGUGCAGUAACCAUCUGUCCAGGAUAAUAGAACCAUGCCCUCACAUCUCAACUGAAAUUUGAAUUCAAAACUAAGUAAAGUUCUGCUCCAAAUUCAAUUUCAAAGCAUAAAAUGCAUGCUCCCAGAAGCAACCCAAGUAGAUAUAAAAGAAGAAAUCAUAGCACAGCUAGACAUAUAAAAGCUCUGGUUUACUUUCAAUAAUUUAGCCAAAAAUAAAACAAAUAAAAAUACCUGAUACAGUUACUUUAGCAAACCCAUAACGAACAAAGUUAGCAAAUUAGUGCUCCAUACAAACCUGCAUACCUGUUAUCAAAAAGAAAACUUGCACAUUCUAGAAAUUGCAUUAAUCAUGUACCCAAGAAAGCUCUGAAUGCCUGAUCAACCAUAACAAACAGCAUCCAAAUGUACCCGAAAAAAUGAUUUUACAACAAUCAAUUUUUCAAUUAUCUACCAAAAAAUAUUAUCACUUAUAAUAAACUAUGUUCUUAAAAAUACAUAUAACAACAUUUUUCUUGUAGAUCUGUCAAGCUCUACCAUGUCUUCGGUACAUAAACUUUUGGAAAUAAAGACUAUCCAUCGGCAACGUCCACAGCCAACAAAUAUUGUUUGUAACAAAAAUCUGUUAUUUAUAAGAGAAAGCAAAAUGUUAGUACUAUCGCAAGAAAGAAACAAUUGACACGUGAUUACUUUAAUACGAUUUAAGAAUUAUAAAAUACAAAUAACCGUGUUAACUUUUCUCCAUCUUCGACUAGUUCUUGAAUGAACACGUUUCUAUUCAAUAGCUUUAUCAUCCCAAGACUGCAAAAAUUGAAAUGAAUCGUUUGGUUAUAUCAACAGAUCAAAUCAACAACUUGGAAAUUGACAACAAAAUAUAUUGAAAAGGAUAUAUGUACAAAUUGUUUGAGUCAUGUGCAAGUAAAACUGAAAUAUAAGUUAUAUAUCCAAUAAGAAUUCUACACAUCUGGAGAAAUUAAUAAUAAGCAUAUUAUAGCUCAGCCAACAUAGAGAAGCUUACUAUGUUAACUGUGAUGAUCAAGCUUCUCAAAUUUGUUCUUCACACACACACACACACACAUAUAUAUAUAUAUAUAUAUAUAUAUUCGUAUGUGUGUGUUUCUGAACCCUACCUUUGCCCUAGUACUUUACAGACCCGAUAUGCCAACUAAAUUUACCACAUUUAUAUAGGAAUCUUUCAAGUGAUUUCUUUCCUAUCUAUAAUUGAUUCUGUAACACUUACACAGAGAAACCAUUGAAAGGAUAAAACCAAAAUUUUUGUGAUCUUUAUUUACUUGUCUGUACUUUGAAUGACAUUCUAGUUGCACCAAAACUUACACAAUUCUAACUUCUGAAAUAUAAUCUUUGAUGCCUAUACAAUCUGAACAUUAUGAUAGACAUCUUCCUAAACAUAUAAGGCCCUGUUACACCUGCUCAGAAGCUUAGAAUCUAAAAAAAUUAUUUUUCAAUUUCUGAGAACCAACGUGGCCACCCUGGUUUUGCCUUUCGACAACAGACCAAGACACUCUGUUUUUUUGCAUAUUUCGGAUUUCCAACACCAACACUUGGUAUCAUGAAUUAUUAUCACCAUAUUAUCAAUUCAGAACUCUUAGAAACAACUCUACUUCAAUUCUUAACAUACAUAUGAUAUGUAUCUUCUAAGUUCCAAAGGUUUAGAUAGUAAACUUCUUUCAAACAUUAUAUCACAUAUUUGGUGGGCAAAAAUUUAUAAGUUUAGUUUUAUAGAGCUUUUAAUAUACUAUAAUCCCAAAUUUUAUAUUCAUUCUCUGAGCAUCUAACAACCAAUUCAAUCAACACAAAAUUAAUACAAAGAAUUUUUCAAUCAAUCGUACCAUCUAAUACUCAUAGCCAUAUACCCCUUUCAUGUAUAACCUUUAUCUAAUAAAAUCAUGACCAGAUGUAUUCCUUACCUCUUGAUUUAGGAUGAUUCCAAUUUCCUUUAACUUCCAACAUCUAUUCCUCAACAACUCAAAGGUUAAAUGAAGGAAAUUGAAAGUGUAGUGUAUCAAGAGUUAGGCUAACUGAAGGAAAUUGAAACUGAAAGUUUGGUGUAUCAAGCUUGCUCCUUACAUUAUAGCUCUGUUGAAUCCUUGGGGUCAUAAUAAUAUGCCAACUCUUGCUAGGUGUGCUUGAAGAAUUCUCAGCAUCCCAACUCAUGCUUAUUAGAUUGAUGACUCAAUUCGUUUAGCUUGGACAUAUAUAAUCUCAAUUCAGUCAGUAUUAAUAAGUUAUGGAGUGCAAAGAGAAAGUUAGAUUUCCUUUCACAUGAAACUCCUAACUCCUAUAUUCACCAUGUUCUCAUACUUUGUCUCCUACAAAGAUCAUUUGUUGUCUCCUACGGGUGCUUUAAGAAAACUCUCAAAACUACAACGAUGCCACAACUUAUUCAAGCAUCAGUCUCAACUACUUAUAAAGUUAAAAAAAUAAAAUUGUUAUGUACAUUUAUAACAAUUAGAAAAUAUUCAACUAUUCCAUCCAAAAUAUAUGCACAGACCUAACUACUCCAAUAUCUUUCUGCAAAAAUAUUUAGGCUAUAUUAAAUACCUUUUAUUCCAAAUAACAUAUCGCAUAAAUUUCUUAAUAAAAGAAUCAUAAUUAGCACUCAUAAACCCAACAGUAAAACCCUUCAAAAUAACCAAACAAAAAGUACAGGACUUGAGCACAACACAUAUAUAAAGACGAUAUUUGUUGUGGACUUGUCAGUUAAUUAAUAACUUUUAUCAGUUAAUUCAAAACAAAUCAAAACUUUUGUCAGUUAAUUAAUAACUUUUAUCGACAAACUAAAUAUUUAAUUAAGAAAAGUGAAGGUAACUUCUACUAAAGCAAAUGAUAUCAUAAUUGUUUCACAUCUUGCUUAUAUAUCCAGGUGCAAAAUUUAUUCUACUUUUUUUUUGGUAAAGAGGGCUUAUUUAAUGAAAGUGACUUGAAGUAUCUUCGUGGGUUUAUUUAAUUCGAAAUGUUGAAUAAUUAAUUUCAUUUUAAGUUUUAGAAUUGAUUGGAUUUAUUUCAAAGUUUACUCUUUUGUGUUAGCAGAGGUGAUUGUAAUAUGCAUAUAUUGAAACGCAUACAUUUGAGUGUUGUAGUAGUAGUUAGUGACAUUGAUUGUUUUUUGGGAUUCGAUUAAAGGAUAUUUUUUUAUUAUAAAAAAGUUGUAGAAUGGAAAUUAUUUUCAUAUACUCCAUAUGAAAUUUGUGAGAUUAUAACAGAUAUAAGAGAGUUUACCUCAAGUUUAAUAACUUAUAAUUAUAUCCUUCAUCUGCCUUACUCCCUCAUCUUUAGAACUCCAUUUCCUCCUAGUAAUUUACCUCAAGUUUAAUAAAUUAUAAUUAUAUCCUUCAUCUGUCUUACUCCCUCAUCUUUAGAAAUCCAUUUCCUCCUAGUAAAUACACAUACAUGUAAUAGUCCCCUAUGCCUGCUUAUCAAUAAUAUAGAACCUGUUCAAUUUUUCCCUCAAUUUGAAUAGAACCAUUUACAUACUAUGGCCUAUGGGGGGUUAUAUACUAUAGAAAGAUUUAAAUUUUAGUUAUUUGAUGUAGUCUAAUAAUAGGUGAGAUAAUUAUACAUAGUUAUUUGACGUUGUCUAAUAAAUUUUAGUUAUUCUUGGAAAGAUAAUGGUGCAAAUUUUAGUUAUUUGACGUUGUCUAAUGUUUACGUCGACUUUUUGAUUGAUUACGCGGAGAUGUGUAAUAACUGAGCUUCUUUUAUAAUUUCUACCAAUUACGUGGUAAGUUUUUAAAUUUAUGGUAAUACAUAAUAGUAGCAGGACUUUUUUAGAAUUGGUAUCCACGAACACAGAAUUUCAGAAGGUAUGGGGGUGUAUUUGUGUUUCAAGUGAAAUCAAAACUCAACUUCAUUCAAAAUGUUAACCAUGAAUUUCAGACCAUUAAAUCUUUGGUUUAAUUAAAAAAAGGUUAAAAUGUUACCAUUCAUUUUAGGCCAAAAAAAAUUAAGUACAUAUAGCUCAAAAUAUUUAACAAAUUAAUUCAUAAAAAACUAAAAUAUUGUUUUGGCACCACCAGGCACUGUAAUUAGAAACAAUUUUAAUACUUUUUCUAAAAUUGAAAUAAGUUAGUUAAAAAAAGUACAACAUACUAAUUUGUAAUCUACUUUAUUUAAUAAUGAUGAUAACAUUAAAAGUAUGAAACCAGUCAACAGUCGAAUACAAUUUAUAUCUAGCGUAACGAAGUCUAGAGAACCACUUCAAGCCAUGUGAUUUAUAAACUGUAAAGUAAAGUAAAAUUUCCAUUAAAAGAACCACGAUAACAAUAAACACAAAUAGAAAAUGCUAAAGAAAUCUACAAUUUGCACCGGUGCAAAGUCUAGAGAAAACAAAACCAUUAGGCUCAUUGACUACUAAUUAAAAUUAUUGAUUUUGGCCUCUCUUUCUCUUCCUCACCGUAUGCUACGAAUUUUGAAUCUAAUAGUAUUAGUGAAAAUUUCAAUCAAUGGUUAGAUUCCUCAGUACUCUUAAUCCCAACCAUUCGUCUAAUAAAAAUGUAUUUGAACACUUUUUAAUUUUUUUAAUUCCUUUUUCUAAUGUGAGUAUGGAAGAGUAGGGAGAAAAAAAGUCCAGAGGGGAGCUUAUCUCAAUUAUUAAACCAAUCGUGCGAUCAAACCAAUCAAAAUAAACCAAGAGUAUAAGUUUAGAAACCUUGACAAUUCAAUCCUAAAAAAUGAUAUAGGUACGUUACUUAAGUUUAAGAUACCUUAACUAAAAUAUGAUAAGUCAUAUAUGCAUUGAACUACUUACAAGUAGAAACAGAAUAACAACAUCUAGGAAAAAAAAAUAAAGAGAAAAAUUGAACAAAUACCUGUGGAUGAUUUUGAAAUUUCAUCAUUUAAAUUUGUGGUCAAUUAUACUGCUAAAGCAGAAGGUCCCACAAAAAAAGAACUGAAUGGAUUACAUUUUGUUAUUUGAUCCUAACAUGUCAAGAUAAAAGUACCUACCUAUUCCUAAAUAAAGACAUUAUUUCUUGAUCAUAGCCAGGAAUCAGCAAAAUCAGUGAUGAUGCAUUAAAUCAUAAUCGAUAAUAAAUUAGUUAAAUUCAAUCAUCAAAUUAUAGUAUAAAGCAACAAUCCCAUUAAUCCAAAUAAAACAAAAAAAUCCAAUGCACAUACCAUAAUAAAAAAAAGGAAAAGAAAAGAAAAAUAAUUGAAAAAUGGGGGAUAGUAUUAGUACCUCCUCUUACAAUAGCUCCACAAGUGCAGAAUUCAUUCAUAUCAAGGGUGAAAAGAGAUAGAUUCUAGGUUAUGAUUUGGAAAUGGAGAAAAGAGAUGAAUUAAAGAGAGAGUGACAUAGUGGUA